CAUUAUUAAAUAAACUUUCAAAACGAAAAGCAACACCUAAAGUAAAGAUUUUUUUAAGAAAAAGUUUAAAAUUCUGUAAAUUAUUUAUUAGAAUAAUCAUGGCAGAUAAUAAUACUACUAUUCCUCAGACGACUACCAUUUAUUAUGUUUGCACAGUAAAGUGCAUGAGUCGGUCAGCUCAUCAACGCCAACAGCAAAAGCUGCAAAUGCAGCAGCAGCAACUGUUGGCGCAACAGAUGGCUGAUAAUGAGGCAGCCGCUGCUGCAGCCGAGAUGUUUGAUUUGUUUUGUGUGGCUACCACAAUGCGUCAAAUACUCGGCUUACAUCGCCAAAUGUGUGAUGUUGUUGGCUUACGACCCGCCCCCCUUAAUGAAUUCUAUCCAAAGCUUAAAACCAAAGUGCGUUCAUGGAAGGCACAGGCUCUAUGGAAGAAAUUUGAUGCGAGAGCUGCUCAUCGAGCCUAUGCCAAAGGUACAGCCUGUACUGGGACAAGAGUGCUAGUAAUUGGUGCCGGUCCUUGUGGUCUACGCACAGCCAUCGAAGCCCAGCUGCUGGGCGCCAAAGUGGUGGUGGUUGAGAAGAGAGAUCGUAUUUCGCGCAACAAUGUUCUGCAUUUGUGGCCCUUUGUUAUAACGGAUCUACGCAAUUUGGGUGCAAAGAAAUUCUAUGGAAAAUUCUGUGCUGGCUCAAUAGAUCAUAUAUCGAUUAGACAGUUGCAAUGUAUCUUACUUAAAGUAGCUUUACUCUUGGGCGUUGAAAUUCAUGAGGGUGUUUCGUUCGAACGCACAAUAGAACCAAGUGGUGAUGGUUGUGGUUGGAGGGCAUCGGUCACGCCGGCUGAUCAUGCCGUAUCGCAUUAUGAAUUUGAUGUGUUAAUAGGAGCAGAUGGAAAACGUAAUACGUUGGAGGCUUUUAAACGUAAGGAAUUUCGAGGAAAACUAGCCAUAGCUAUAACGGCAAAUUUCAUAAAUAAAAAAACUGAAGCAGAAGCUAAAGCGGAGGAAAUAAGUGGUGUAGCGUUUAUAUUCAAUCAAUCCUUUUUUAAGGAGUUGUACCAUACUACUGGUAUAGAUUUGGAAAAUAUUGUAUACUAUAAGGAUGAAACACAUUACUUUGUAAUGACUGCCAAAAAGCAUAGUCUUAUCGACAAAGGAGUUAUUUUACAAGACUUUGCUGAUCCUGCGGAAUUAUUAGCUCCUAUUAAUGUAAAUACUGAGAAACUUUUAGACUAUGCUCGUGAAGCUGCAGAAUUUUCUACCAAAUAUCAAAUGCCAAAUUUAGAAUUUGCUGUUAAUCAUUAUGGAAAACCCGAUGUUGCCAUGUUUGAUUUUACCUCCAUGUUUGCCGCUGAAUCUUCAUGUCGUGUAAUAGUGCGCAAAGGUUUUCGUCUUUUACAAUGUCUGGUGGGUGAUAGUUUGCUUGAGCCUUUUUGGCCCACCGGCUCUGGUUGUGCUCGUGGUUUCUUAUCCAGUAUGGAUGCUGCAUAUGCCAUAAAACUAUGGUCCAAUUCUGGCAAUAGUACUUUGGGUGUUGUGGCUCAACGUGAGAGUAUUUACAGACUUUUGGGUCAAACCACGCCGGAAAACUUGCAGCGUGAUAUUGGCAGUUAUACGGUAGAUCCCGCCACUCGCUAUCCCAAUUUGAAUCGCACAUCGGUAAAUGUUUGGCAGGUUAAACAUUUAAUCGAUACAGAUGAUAAUACCGUUUUGGAACAAACGUUUAUGGAUACAAAUGCUAUACAACCUACUCAGGUCGAUACUCCAGUACGCAGGAAACGUCGCAGUGGAGAUACUAUGCCUUUAAGUACUGUAUUAUUGAGGUGGAUCUGUGCCCAAUUACAUGCCUACGAAUUUACCAAGGAACUUAAAGAAGUUUCCGAUGUUUUUACCAAUGGCAAAGUUUUAUGUGCUUUAAUAAAUCGUUAUCGUCCAGAUCUAGUCGAUUUUAAUACAGUCAAAGAUUUGAGCCCCGUGGAACAAAAUGAUCUCGCUUUUAAGAUAUUAGACAAAGAAUUGCAUAUACCACGCAUAAUGAGUGGCAAAGAUUCUUUACAAUUAAGCAAUGUAGAAUCGAAAGUUUGGCUUAAUUACUUAGAACAAAUCUGUGAAGUAUUUCGUGGCGAAAUACCGCAUGUUAAACAUCCCAAAAUUGAUUUCUCUGAUUUGCGUGAGAAAUACAAAACUAACAAUGCACAUGCUCAACCGGACUUUUCGAAACUAUUACAACUUUCUACCAAACAAAAAGCCAAAUCUCCCAUACAGGAUCUGGUGGAUGUUCCUCAAGUGGUGCAAAGACGCUCCGUACUGGAUGAGGAGAAAUUAAAGCGCCAACGACGUUACGAACAACAGUUUGUUGGUAACGCUGCAGGUGCAGGCAAUGCAGCACAAACUGAUACUCCUCGUCGUGCCAAAAAACGUCGUAGUGCUGAUAAAGCUGCCAAUAUUGUUCAUUUCAUAAUAAAUCAUUAUCAUGAAAAUACACAUAUAUUGGGUAAUGACAUCAUAACAUCAUCUUCCUCAUAUGAUCAGGAGGAACGACAAAAACGUUUGCAAGAAAUUGAACUGAAUCGUCAAGAUCGCCAAAGUAAGCGACGUCAGCAACGUUAUCAACAAACUCAAAACUUUUACAAAUCUCUACACAUGCUACAAGCGAAUACCUUCUUACGUGAAGCCGAUGAAAAUACUCCCUUUGAAGAUUAUUCGAUAUUUCUGUAUCGCCAGCAGGCUCCCGAAUUCAACGAUCGUGUCAAAGAUUUGGAAAGAAAAUUACUGUAUCCCGAUCGUGAACGUAGUGAUAUACCUUCAGCUCUGCCUCGCAAUGUAGAUGAACAAUUUAGCGAUCGUAUCAAAUCUAUGGAACAACGCAUUUCAUCACGUAAUGCUUAUGGCAGUGAUAAGAAGCCUAAAGAUUUGAUGCGUGCCAUAGGAAAAAUCGACAGCAACGAUUGGAAUGUAAGGGAAAUUGAAAAGAAGAUAGAACAAUCGAAGAAAACAGAAGUUCAUGGACCCAAAGGUCGUGAAAAGGUGCCAAAGUGGAGUAGAGAACAGUUUCAGGCAAGACAAAAUAAAAUGUCAAAACCCACACGCCAAGAUUCGGCUGAAGAGAAAUUUAAAGAAAUCGAUCAAACGCUUAAGAAUCUGGAUAAACAAUUGAAAGAGGGUAAUGUGUUGGAAGUGGGUAAAGUUGCUUCAAUAGCGGGGCAAUUUGUGAAACGUGACGAUACAUCGGAAGAAAAGAAUCCCCCUACAGUAGUUCCAAAAUCAAGUACCAAAGUGGCUUUGGCUUUUAAAAAACAAGCUGCCUCUGAAAAGUGUCAUUUUUGCAAGCAGACGGUAUAUCUUAUGGAAAAAUUGCAAACUGAAAAUUUGGUUAUGCAUCGAGGUUGUCUUAAAUGUCAUCAUUGUCAUACAAACUUACGAUUAGGAGCUUAUGCCUUCGAUCGUGACGAUCCCAAUGGCCGCUUCUAUUGUACACAACAUUUCCGAUUACCAGCUAAAGCUAUACGGCCGGUGGUUCGUAAACCAGGACAGAGGAAACCAACACAACAACAACAAAAUGAGGCAGCUGCUAGUGCUGCUUCAGUGGCUAAAACACCUGUGCCUUCAUAUAUUAAUAGUGAAUCGGGUGAUGAACCUAGAACACCAGAUAAACGUGGCCAAGUCGAUAAUGUUGCCAAAUUGGAUCUGUUGGAACGUGGCCAAACACCGGAACGCAUAGAAUUCGAAAAUACAGAUGCGAUGUCAGACGGGGAACCCUCUGAAGAACAUAUUAUAGACGAGCACGAAUGGUCAGGCCGCAAUUUCCUACCAGAAUCCAAUAAUGAUUCAGAAUCAGACCUUUCAAGUUCUGAUGACUCAGACCCCGAUUCAGAUUCUGACAUGUUUGAAGAAGCGAAUGAUUCUCCGUUGGGUGCUCAAACUUUGCAACUAGCCUCUGAGUGGAUUGGCAAACAAAAUUAUUCAGAUACUGAUGACUCUGAUGAUUCCUAUGAUUCCAGCGAAGGUAUGGCAGACGAUGGCAAAGAUGAUACAGAAGGUGAAGAAUUUGCUAAAGCCAGAGAAUUGCGUCGUGAAGAAGUUCGCUUACCUCCUUUACCCCCUAAUUUACCCACAGAUACUGAAACAGAGGUGCAAAGUGAAUCAGAAACCUCAUCUCCUGAUGAAGUUGAACUUAAUUCUGCCACAGAAAUUUCAACAGAUUCUGAAUUCGAUCAAGAUGAAAUGAUACGCGAAACACCAAAAAUUUUUAUUGAUGACACACAUUUAAGAAAGCCAACCAAAGUACAGAUUAAAUCUACUGUUAUACCGCCCUCAAUGGGUCAAAAAUACAAUAAUAUCGCCAAUACCCAGCAAGUCAAGAGUGGAACUUAUUUAGCAAAGUACCAAACACAACCGCAACAACCUAUAAUACCACAAUUUAAACCUCUAGUCCAAGUCGAUCCCUCCCUUUUAAACACAAAUCGCACACCCCUACAAAAUCCUCGUCCAGGAGAUUAUUUACUUAAUAAAACGGCCAGUACCGAAGGCAUAGCUUCGAAAAAAAGUUUAGAGUUAAAGAAACGUUAUUUGCUUGGAGAACAAGCUAACGGUAAUAAGAUACAAAAAUCUGGUUCCACUUCCGUAUUAGAUUCACGCAUACGCAGCUUCCAAUCAAAUAUAUCGGAAUGUCAAAAGCUCUUGAAUCCCAGCAGCGAUAUAAGUCCUAGUAUGAAAACUUUCCUAGACCGCACUAAACUGGGUGAGAAAGCAGGUAAUGAAUUAAUGAGAUCUGCUACGAAUAAUAUACUCAACGAUCUUAAGGUGGAAAUAACAAUACAAAAAGCAUCAUCUACUGCUUCUACAGACAAUGAAAAGGAAAAUGUUUUUGUAAAUAGUAAAAAUGAACUUAACAAAUGUUUGGAAUAUUCUGAGACUGUAAAUAAUACCUUAUUGGAAUCUAUCAAUAAAAAAUCGACUCCUACUACUCCAACUAAUAAUAAAAACAUAAUUGAGACAAUUGAUUUAGUUACACCGGAAAAGGAAAGUACAAUGGAUACAUCGGAUAGCAAUAAGGUUAUCGAUUUAACGGGUGAUUCCCCAGUAAGGAGCAAUCGUACCAUAAUCGAAGCAGCUGUCAAACCUGAUCUAUCUCUUGAUGUCAAAUGUAUACCAGAUAUUUUGGGUCACAUAGAGAAAAAGGAGGAGAAAAGCAAGUCAAAAGAAUGUACACCAACUGUAGAAAGGCAAAAGGAAGAGGAUGAGGUUAAUUUAAUUGAUAACAAUAUGGAAAAGGUAGAUAUACCCGAGAAGUUAGAAGCUAUCUAUGAUAAUGAAAUGGAAGAUGUACAGAUUGAAGUCCCCAAUAUAGUUUGGAAUACAAAAUCCGAUAAUCUUAGUUCGAGUAGCAAUUCUAGCUGUUCGUCACAUUCUUCAAGUUUGGAGGAUAUAGAGCAUUACAUAUUGGAAUCAACCACUAGUCCAGAAACACACAAUAGUGCUGGCCUCAUGUCAUCUUCAGGUGGCAAUCAUCAAGUACCUCGACUAGAAAUACAUGAUACCUCUGGUACUCUCAUGCAAUUCGAUAGUUUAAUGAUAAUAGAUGGUAAAUAUGUAGGCGAUCCUGAAGAUUUGAAAUUUAUAGAAUUGCCAGAAGGAGUAAUUGUUCCUGAAGUACCGGCCGUAAAGACAACAGAAUUAGAAGAUGAACAUGAGGUGGAUGUGGAACCAGUCACAGCCACCCCAGAACCCGCCGAAACCACCGUUAUUGAGGCGGAUAAGUUGGAUGUAAUUAAAGAUAUUGAAGAAAUAGUAGAUAGGGAUGUGGAUGAGCCGCCACCACUGCCAGAAAUAGGGCCACCACUGCCAGAAAAAGGACCACCAAAAAUUAAGCCUUCUAAUCUUAAGUUUGACACGAAAAACGAAAACAAAAUUGAAAGUCUUAAAAAUCUACCCUUGAUUGUAGAUGCCUCCUCAAAGGACUAUAAGAAGGCAGUCAAACCUAUUACCUUAAAUCUAACAAGCGCACAAAAAACGCCAGAAACUCCUACAACACCUAAGGGGAGUUUCUUACAAACACCUACGUCGCCUCUAAUAGAUAUGGAUAAAACUCCAACUGGUGAGUUGAUCUCACGUGGUUCAGAUUCUGAGACAGAACCCACAGGUACCGCACAAAUUCUGACAGAGACUGAGUUGUCGGACUGGACGGCAGACGAUUGCAUUUCUGAGAAUUUUGUUGACAUGGAAUUUGUCCACCACUCAAAUAAAACAAAUUUAAAAGGCGGCAAAAAAGAUAAGAAAAAGAGAGGUCUACCAACAAGCAAUGAGGUCUUACAAGAAGUGGCCAAAACCGCUCCAGUUGCUGAAUUUGAAGGUAUUCUCAAAUCAAUUGAUAUUGAUGAUAUUGAAUUUAUGGACACAGGUUCCGAUGGUUCGGGAACCGAGCCUCUUUCCGCAACUAAUACAGCUUUGCUUCGUAACCGCGGCUAUGUUGAAUUUGUAGACAACUCUCCUAAACCUAAUAGAACUACAGCACAAAGUGCAUAUGGUUCUGCAACAUCAUCAAAGGAAAGUUACAAACCCAUCCAGACAAAGAGAGACGAAAAACUGGGGAUUGACUAUAUAGAGCAAGGGGCUUAUAUAAUGCUUGAUGACAUGAAUAAAACUCCUGUAAACGAAGCUGCUAAAAAUAUUCCUUCCACACUAAUGACGCAAUCACUUACCGACUCAAGUACCAUCAACGACGCAGAAGACGAGAGUACUUGCGCUUUAUCGUCACAAAUGCAACUAACAUCGGUUGAUACCACCACCACUUCAAAACCAACACAACAAAUGACUACCACAGAGGAAAGUGAAGCUUUGACUGUAGUCACUAGUCCAUUUGAUUCUUCUUCGCCCCAUACACCAAAUUCAAACAAAAUGGGAAAAGAAAGCAACGCCGUCAUUGUCCAAGAAAAGGGUGACAGUUCAACGCCCAGUAGCUCGGAUAGAGCACCUAAAUCAUCACAAUCAACUUCAUGCACUAACUCUGCCACAUCCUCCAGUAAAAAUACUCCUCCACGACAACUAAUUAAAGAUCCUCUUAUGGCAGCCGCAGACAAUUCGUCAUUAAAGAAAUCAAACGACGAGUUGUCAUAUGAAGAAUAUGUACGAGCUUUGCAGCAGAAGAUUGUACAAAUUUCAACAACUGCUCGUGGAGAUUCAUUAGAGGCUCGCAAACAACGAAGGAAAAGCUCAAAGGGAGAGGCUCCAAUAGCCUUAACAAAUCCUAACCAAACUGUGAUAGAAUCAACACCAACAACUACAUUAACUACAACAAAUAAUUUAAGAUUAGAUAAGGACGACGAAACAAAAACGAAUCAAACAAUAACCGCUUCGCCAGCAAACGUAGCUGAAACAGCAAAUGCAAAUACAACCGUUGCAGCAGUAUUACCCACACAACUGAAUAAAGUACCUGAAAUUCCGACACUUACAAGCAAGCUGGAGGAAAUCACCAAAGAACGCACCAAACAAAAGGAUCUUAUUCAUGACCUGGUCAUGGACAAAUUACAAUCGAAAAAACAAUUGAAUGCCGAAAAACGUUUGCACCGCAGUCGUCAACGUACAAUGGUAACAAGUGGUGGUGGUGGCUGCGGUCUCGGCGGUGGUGGUUACUCAUCAGGUUCUAGUCUAAGUCCCACGCCCAAAUUGGCGGCAGCUAACUCUACCACUGAUACAAAUUGCACAAAUCAAGCUCACUACCAUGUAUCCACAGCCGCGGCUGAAACAUCCACAUCUUCUUCCAACCGAACACCAGCACUGCGUCUGAAUACAAACUCAAGCUUUACAGAGAACAAUCCCUCGACUUCAUACACUGCAGCUUAUGGAAUGGAAGCUUUAUCGCCCACUCGAGCUAAAGCCUACAAACAACGUCCGUUUAGUGAACACUUGGAGGGAGAUUCUUUAAAAUCAUUUGAACAACGUUACAAAAUCAAUAAAACACCCUCAUUUUCCUACGCUACAACUCGGCAACAGCAUCCGGUGGCGCAGCCUACAUCUUAUUCUGAACUUUCUACCCCAAUUCCACCAAUGCGACAAAAACGAAAUGGCGAAAGUGUUGCAACAACACCAACCGAAACGAAUAAAGAAACAAAUUUUUCGGUAUCCACUGAGAAUCUUAGAAGUGAAGCUAGAGCUCGUGCUCGCUUGAAAUCCAAUUCCGAACUGGGACUGAGUCCCGAAGAGAAAAUGCAGUUACUGCGCAAACGUUUACAAGUGGAUGUGUGUACAGAUCCGGAACCAGUAAGAGCUUUACAAUCUUCAUAUGAACGAGAAAUUGGCAACAGUAAACGUGAAAACAAAAUGAGCAGUUCGAAAAGUGUUAACGAUCUCGCCUAUUUAACUCAAUCACAAAAACAAAAUACCAACAGUGUUGGUAUGGCAAAUAACGCUUCUAGAGCAUCUGAUUUUACCUCAGAUCCAAACCUAUUGAUUUCGUCCACACAUUCGACCUCUGCCGCUACGGACAGCAGUAAACAAUUGAAAACGAAAUCCGGUCGUAGAGUUAAAGAUCCAGAACGACGUAAAUCGCUUAUACAAUCUUUAUCAAGCUUUUUCCACAAGGGACAGCAGAAUAAGGAGAAUAAACAACAACAGCAACAAAAAGAUGCCACUGCUUCGACUAGUGAUGGCAACUCUGCACAGCCAGAGCGUCCUAGCACUGGUGGUGGCAGUAGCAGCACAUCUACAUCACAAACAGUUUCUUCAGGUAUCGAUGGUGUUCUAAGUCGUUUUCGUAUAUCACCCAAAACCAAAGAGAAAUCGAGGUCUUGCAUUGAACUCAGGAAUUUCAGUGUUGGUACGAGAGUUACGCUACCGAGACUCGCGAUCAAAAGAAACAGCGUGCAAUAUCGAAGGCUGUUCGCCAAGCUGAACUUAAGCGAUUAAGAAUCGCUCAGGAAAUCCAGCGUGAACAAGAAGAAAUUGAAGUGCAAUUAAAAGAAUUGGAAACACGUGGGGUACUCAUUGAAAAGGCUUUACGUGGAGAAGAACAAAAUUAUGAUAAUCCGGAUUCUACUACUAAUGUGGGCAGUAGUGAUGAAAAACUCUUAAAAGAACUUUUGGAAAUAUGGCGAAAUAUAACACAACU
rnacentral:misc_RNA from 1 species